CUGGAUGCUAGGAGCUUUAUUAUUAUUAUUUAUUUACAUACUCCAGAAGUUCUAAAUGUGCCCAUUUAUUACAGUUUUUACGGUAGGCAUGCUACUCCAGAAUUUAUGGUAAAUUUCCUGGAUGCUAGGAGCUUUCUUAUUAUUUAUUUACAUAUACAAGAAGUUCUAAAUGUGCCCAUUUAUUACAGUUUUUACGGUAUUCAUGCUACUCCAAAAGUUUAUCCAUUUUAUUUGGGGUUUGUCUAUAGCCAUGCUGCUCUACAGAUUUUGGUCAAUUCCAUAUUCGUUUCGUUUUCAGCAGGCGCGCUGCUCCAGAAGUUACGGUAGUGUUCCCUGUGUAUUAGUGCUUUUAUGCUAGGCAUGCUACUCUAAAACUUAUAAUAGUUACAGUAGGUUGUUCGUGUUGUUUGUGGUUUUAGAAUACUAAAAUAAUAAACUGACCAUUUUAUUUAUUAGACUUUGUUUAAUAAUAAGCCUCACAGUCCGUAAGAUUUAGUAGUUUGCCCAUCUAUUAUUGCUUUCAAGGUAGACGUUCUACUCUAGACGUUUUAUAUAUAUAUAUACAUAUAAACAGACAUGCUCCUCCACAGGUUAUGGUAAAAUACUUAUUUAUUAAAGAUUUCUUUUUAAACAAUAGCCAGGAGGUACCCCAGAAGCUUUUACGGUAAUUUGCUCGGUUAUCAGCGCUUUAAUGGUAGACAUGCUGCUCCAGACCUCGUGCUGGUCUGUUGUUUAUAUUUGUGGUUUUAAAUGAGAUACUCUUCUCCAUGUAACGGUAAAUCGCAUAUUCAUUAGGAUUUUUAGGCAUGAUAGUGCGGACGUUACAGUAGUUUGGUUUUGUUUUUAUUUGUGCUUUUAUAGUAGCCAUGCUAAACAUGAACGUACGGUAGUUUGCACAGUUUAAUGGUUGAUAUGAAGCACAAGUAGAUGCAGAUAUAUUGCUGCUUUCUGGUAGAUGCGCUGCUCCAGAAUUGACAGUAAUUGAAGAUAAUUGUGGACAUUUUCACAGCAUCCCAUGCUGCUCCGGUAAUUACAGCAGUUAUACGUUCUCCCAGUUACGGGAAGAUGCAUACCUGUGACUGAGAUUGGUACAACAGGAUCGUUUCCAUAUUUUACUGUGAUGUCUUCAACGUCACACCCAGCCCUAUUACACAGUCCUUCCCAUGCUCCCUCUGAAUACUGCUGUAUCGCUCCUCUAACCAAAACACCAGAGAGCUGACGGCAAUAUUUUUCUUCUCCGAGCUUCCCCCGAAAGCCGUCUGUCUCUCUGACUGGCCCAAUUCUUCACCAAGAUAUUAAUAUGAUUUUCAAAAUGUUACCCUGUCCUCAUUAGGAGAAUUACCGGCUGGUGAAAGAUCACUCGUUUAAGUGGGUUAUAAAGCUUCUCUUAUGCUGCUCCACGUCCGGCCGCACUCCGGCUUUUAUAAGGCCUAAUUCAUGACCCGGAACGUAAUUUGGUCCCAAUGAGAAAAACCAGUACGGAGCUAAACGCAUUUCCGAGUCGAAACAAGCGCGUUUAAUCUUCCCGGAAGAUUAAACGGGAGAUUCCCGGAGGAUUAAACGGGAAGCCUCCUGCUCUUUGAAAAGGCAUGGAGUCAUUCACUGACCUAGAUAUUAUUAUCUUCGGCAUAUAAGCACAUUGUACUUGAUUUUUGCACUCGGAGAAAGAGAAACUGUGAGAGCGAGAUAGUGAAAGUGUGUUUAUUCCUACACACAUAGCUCCGACCUCCUACAGCCGGCGAGACAGCCGCACCAUUCAUGCGAACGGCGUGCCACGACGGACCCACGGCAGACCUGUUCGAGCGGGGUCUGGCGCCAAACCCGUCCAUUCUCAGCACGGACAUUACUCCAAGAGACUUCGAUUCGCCAGGUCAGCAGCUUCCCCAAGUGACUCCUUUGCGCAAGAGGACACCGAGGACAUCGCAUUGCAUCCUUUCUGAAAAUUGCUCAUGGAAAUAGUGGAGGGAAAAAAAAAAAACAAUCAGGAAGACAGAUCUGACCAUGCCAAGUCAUUAAUUGACACGCUAAUUAGCUCAGCUAGUGUCCUCUCCACUUGGGGCCAGGCCUUGAUGUUCCCCCGAGGCAUCCCUGAAGCCUGCGCUGAAUAACUGAAUGUCUUCCUGCUGAUGUGGGGGGAAAAAAACCAGCACUUCCUCUGAGGAAAACGCAACAGGAUGUCGGAGAUGCUCCGUGGGGACCCCUGCCACGACGACCUCAUCUGCGGCAGCAGCCGUCAGUUCAGAGAGUAUUAACAAAGGAGCGUCUAUAACGUAGACGGUCGAGGAAAAGACGUCUGCUAUCCAAAGGCAAAACCAUUUAUAUCUGACGGGGGUGCGGUGGGUGUGGGGCUGUCAUAUGGUCAUUUCCCACCCCUAACUAAAGCUGGAGGGGCAACCCUGGAGAAACCAGGAAUGCUCAUGUUAACACUUUCGCUGGAGGAAAAGAGCCCAUUGUUUCGUGCGCUCUCCACCAGACUCGACAGGAAGUCACAGUAAUUAUGUAGGCUUAUGUACAGACUGUAAGUCCCAGGCAAAAAGUGCAAUAAUGACGGCUAAGUUUCAGUUCAAAUCGGAGCCCCUUCCCAGACGAGUGGGAUAUUAUAAGCUUCGAGGCCAAAAGUUUGUAGACACCUCGCCGUCAUAAUCGUAUGCGCCCGUUGAACAUCUCAUUAAAGCUCCACUCUUCUGGGAAGGCUUUCCGCUAGAUUUUGGAGCGUGGCUGUGGGGAUUAGUGUCUA
ensembl:lncRNA